AGCGAACGCUGGCGGCAGGCUUAACACAUGCAAGUCGAGCGGGCCCUUCGGGGUCAGCGGCGGACGGGUGAGUAACGCGUGGGAACGUGCCUUCUGGUUCGGAAUAACUCAGGGAAACUUGAGCUAAUACCGGAUACGCUCUUUUGGGGAAAGGUUUACUGCCGGAAGAUCGGCCCGCGUCGGAUUAGCUAGUUGGUGGGGUAACGGCCUACCAAGGCGACGAUCAGUAGCUGGUCUGAGAGGAUGAUCAGCCACACUGGGACUGAGACACGGCCCAGACUCCUACGGGAGGCAGCAGUGGGGAAUAUUGGACAAUGGGCGCAAGCCUGAUCCAGCCAUGCCGCGUGAGUGAUGAAGGCCUUAGGGUUGUAAAGCUCUUUUAUCCGGGACGAUAAUGACGGUACCGGAGGAAUAAGCCCCGGCUAACUUCGUG
rnacentral:rRNA from 1 species